GGAAGGAUCAUUACCGUGAUUCCGAGACGUGUCCGUCAAAAGACACACAACGAAUGGGCUGAUGCUGUCCAGUCGAUGGGGAAAGCGCCGUUUCUGCGCAAAGCCCUGAGACAGCAAAGGCCAGCACACCGCGUCUGUGUAUUUCUCAGUUGACCGUUUUGCUAAAAUCAGUUUGGCGCUCGGUGAGGCGUCCAUGGUUUGUUUAGCCAAGUAACUGGGCCGGCGGUGUUUGAAAUUGGGUUCUUUGCCUGCGCACGCUUCGGCGUUGCAUGGCAUGCUUUGGGUACCUACUGGUCGUUGGCUGGCUCUCGCGAGGUUGACCCUUUCGCGUUGCUUCGAGCUGCCAUCGAUUAAUACCGUCCUGCCAGGUCGCGUAUGCGGCAAGGCGGAAGGUUUAAAGAGCUGGCUUAGGUGGACCGCAUGACGGUCCCCGGCUACUCGUUCACUGCAAGGACUCUGACCUCUUUGCUUGGUGAAGUCGGUGCAUCGUUUUUCUUGUGCAUCGUAGAGUAGAUCACCCAGGCGCAUGCUUCUUAAAGCGCCAAGCUAGCCGCCCGAAACCACCUUUUAACUAAUUGAAAAACUUAAUUAAACUAUGCUCUUCACCGAGCGUAGCACAUAUAAUGACUAUUCUAAGCGGUGGAUCACUUGACUCGUGGUUCGAUGAAGAACGCAGCUAGCUGCGUGAAGUAAUGUGAAUUGCAGACACAUUGAACAUCGACCUUUCGAACGCACAUUGCGGAAGUGGGUUUUCCCGCUUCUACGCCUAAACGAGGGUGAAAAUAGCGACAGCAUUUUUCCUUUUUCCCAUGUUUAUCGCUGAUGGCCAGCUUCAGGCGCUUCAGCGAUAGAUAGGGUGCUUCAUUAAAGGAAGAAAUUGGGUCGACUGCGACUUUGUUUGUUGGACCACACGCUUCUUGUGGGCCGGCCAUUUGUCGUACCGACCUUGAGUGUCGAGAAAGCGUCGUUUGCUUCUUAAUAAACGAUGAUUUGUAUUAACGAUGUAUGACCUUACGUGCUCCAGCCUUUGUGGCUUGCUUAGCGUAAAUGGUUUGCUGUUAGCUUCUAAACAUGCAUACUUUCUACGUUCGAGCGCGCUUCUUUGCUGCAAAGGGCUUCACUGGUGCAUAUGCUUCACAAGGCACAUCACAUCAACUACCUUUCUUUACCUCGUUUUAGACGUGAAUACCCGCUGAAUUUAAGCAUAUUAUUAGGCGGAGGAAAAGAAACUAACAAGGAUUUCCCAAGUAAGGGCGACUGAAAGGGAAACAGCCCAGCGCUGAAUCCGGCAGCGUCUCGCUGUAUGGACCUGUAGCGUUUAGGCAAGCCUUUCCGGUAAGCUGUUGCAGUCCAAGUCCCCUUGAGCGGGGCCACAGCCCAUAGAGGGUGCAAGGCCCAUAGGAUUGCUCGGCUUGUCGGUUGGAGCUGCCUUGGAGUCGGGUUGCUUGAGAGUGCAGCCCAAAGCUGGUGGUAAACCCCAUCUAAGGCUAAAUAUUACCACGAGAUCGAUAGCGAACAAGUACCGUGAGGGAAAGUUGCAAAGAACUUUGAAGAGAGAGUUCAACAGGGCGUGAAACCGCUUAGAAGUAAACGGGUGGUGCUGACAUUGUGUUUGUCGGAUUCAGCCGACUCGACGGUGGAUUGCUUGCGUGCUGAUCAGCUAACGACAGUCGCGUGGGUAGCUUCACUCUGCCUAGAGUUGGUGCACUUUCGGCGAACUGCGUCACGACCGACGAGCGUUCCGGCAAAAGGCUGGCUAGUUGCCGACUGCGGGUUUCGGCUUGCAGUGCCCCACUGGUCACGUCAGUCAACCUGGUUUCGCUCGUCGGGUAUAAGCCGCGCCCGCCUCACGGCUCAAUUCAGCGUCGCUUAUGUGUCGGUCGAACUGUGGGAGUCUGCUUGCAGGCUUCUGCGAUGCCCGGCGCUUACGGCGGCGUUGUUUGAGUUGGCGGCAUAUGGUCGGUGGCGUCCGCGUCAGUUUCCCACCCGACCCGUCUUGAAACACGGACCAAGGAGUCUAACAUGUGCGCAAGUCAUGGGGUUGAGUAAACCCAAAGGCGUAAUGAAAGUAAAGGCUAGCUUGCCUGGCCGAAGUGUGAUCCUUGCCUUCACGGGCUUGGCGCAACACUGUCCAAUCGCAUCGGCUUGCCCGAGCGGUUGCGAAAGAGCGUACACGUUGGGACCCGAAAGAUGGUGAACUAUGCCUGAGCAGAAUGAAGCCAGAGGAAACUCUGGUGGAGGUUCGUAGCGGUUCUGACGUGCAAAUCGAUCGUCAGACUUGGGUAUAGGGGCGAAAGACUAAUCGAACCAUCUAGUAGCUGGUUCCGCU
rnacentral:misc_RNA from 1 species